rnacentral:tRNA from 1 species
GGUCAGAUAGCUCAGUUGGUAGAGCAUUGGACUGAAAAUCCAAGUGUCGCCGGUUCGAUUCCGGCUCUGACCAC